rnacentral:rRNA from 1 species
UACGUAGGGGGCGAGCGUUGUCCGGAUUUAUUGGGCGUAAAGAGCGUGUAGGCGGUUCGGUAAGUCUGUCGUGAAAUCCUGAGGCUCAACCUCGGGCGUGCGAUGGAUACUGGAUAGCUAGAGUCUGGUAGGGGGAUCUGGAAUUCCUGGUGUAGCGGUGGAAUGCGCAGAUAUCAGGAGGAACACCGGUGGCGAAGGCGGGUCUCUGGGCAGUAACUGACGCUGAGGAGCGAAAGCGUGGGGAGCGAACAGG